CCUACGGGUGGCAGCAGUGAGGAAUAUUGGUCAAUGGACGGAAGUCUGAACCAGCCAUGCCGCGUGCAGGAAGACGGCUCUAUGAGUUGUAAACUGCUUUUGUACAAGGGUAAACCUGAAUACGUGUAUUCAGCUGACAGUACUGUACGAAUAAGGAUCGGCUAACUCCGUGCCAGCAGCCGCGGUAAUACGGAGGAUCCAAGCGUUAUCAGGAUUUUUUGGGAUGAAUGGUUGCGUGGGCGGAUUGAUAAGUUAGAGGGUAAAUAUCCGAGCUUAAAUCGGGAACUGCCUCUAAUACUGUUGAUCUAGAGAGUAGAAGCGGUAGGUGGAAUGUAUGGUGUAGCGGUGAAAUGCGUAGAGAUCAUACAGAACACCGAGUGCGAAGGCAGCUUACCAAUCUAUAUCUGACGUUGAGGCACGAAAGCGUGGGGAGCAAACAGGAUUAGAGACCCGUGUAGUC
rnacentral:rRNA from 1 species